rnacentral:tRNA from 1 species
GGCAUAGUAGCUCAGUUGGCUAGAGCACGCGGUUCAUACCCGCGGUGUCGCUGGUUCGAUUCCAGCCUAUGCCA